CAUGCCGGUGCCCUGGAGGACGCCGGUGAAGACGGCGGCGGCGAAGACCAUGCCGGCGACGUUCAGGACGUUGUCGGCGUGG
rnacentral:tRNA from 1 species